rnacentral:rRNA from 1 species
AUUGAACGCUGGCGGCAUGCUUUACACAUGCAAGUCGAACGGUAACAGGCCGCAAGGUGCUGACGAGUGGCGAACGGGUGAGUAAUGCAUCGGAACGUGCCCAGUCGUGGGGGUUACUUAUCCGAAAGAUUACUUAUUACCCCUUCCGACCUUUGGAUGAAAGCGGGGGACCGAAAGCCCUCCCCCGAUUGGGCCGCCGGAUGUCAGAUUAGGUAGUUGGUGGGGUAAAGGCUCACCAAGCCAACGAUCUGUAGCUGGUCUGAGAGGACGACCAGCCACACUGGGACUGAGACACGGCCCAGACUCCUACGGGAGGCAGCAGUGGGGAAUUUUGGACAAUGGGCGCAAGCCUGAUCCAGCAAUGCCGCGUACAGGAAGAAGGCCUUCGGGUUGUAAACUGCUUUUGUACGGAACGAAACGGCUCUGGUUAAUACCCGGGGCUAAUGACGGUACCGUAAGAAUAAGCACCGGCUAACUACGUG